rnacentral:rRNA from 1 species
CCUGCGGUUUAAUUGGACUCAACGCCGGGCAGCUCACCGGAUAAGACAGCUGGAUGAUAGCCGGGCUGAAGACUCUGCUUGACUAGCUGAGAGGAGGUGCAUGGCCGUCGUCAGUUCGUACUGUGAAGCAUCCUGUUAAGUCAGGCAACGAGCGAGACCCACGCCAACAGUUGCCAGCAUGUCCUCCGGGAUGAUGGGGACACUGUUGGGACCGCCUCUGCUAAAGAGGAGGAAGGAAUGGGCAACGGUAGGUCAGCAUGCCCCGAAUUAUCCGGGCUACACGCGGGCUACAAUGGUCAGGACAAUGGGUAUCGACACCGAGAGGUGGAGGCAAUCUCCUAAACCUGUCCUUAGUUCGGAUUGUGGGCUGCAACUCGCCCACAUGAAGCUGGAAUCCGUAGUAAUCGCGUUUCAAAAUAGCGCGGUGAAUAUGUCCCUGCUCCUU